rnacentral:lncRNA from 1 species
GUAGACGCGCGCGGGGGGCGGCGGCGGAAAGUUUGGCGGAGCGCGCGGGGCGGGCGCAGGUGGAGGCGCGGCGCCGGGCGGGGGCGCGCGGCGGGCAGGUGUCGGGCGCUCCGCUCCCCGCCGCCGGCGCCCGGGAUCCCCGCGCCCCCGCCCCGGCCCCGCCGCCGCCGCGCAGGGAGGGGGAAGGACGGGGGCGGUCGCUGAACUGAGCGGGAGGCGAACGAGAGGACAUUGACUUCGAGCCUUUCAGACAGGUUCCCGGAGCGCCCGCGCUGUGCCCGCCGGAGCCCGGGUCUCUCCAGCUCGCCGGGGCGGAAUCCGAGGGCAGAGGCCGGCUUACCGACACGACACGCGCCGAGGGGACCCAAACCCGGUCCGGUCCGAGCCCGCAGCCCGGCUCCUUCUCUCCUUCCACUUCCGCCUCAGUGAGGAGAAAGGCGUGGGGGUGGGGGUGCAGAUGGGACUUGCGGGUGGGCUGUAGGGAGGAGGGGGACGCCCGGAUCUGCCUCCGCUGCCCCUCGGCACAGGGGAGGGAGCCCACCGGGCAGGGGAGGCCAGUCCCCGCCCACUGCUCCCCGGAGGUGCCCAGAGACCUGUGUGACUACCGCCUGGAGGGAAAGGAAGACACCCAAACCCAGAUUCUGCCAAGGCAGGAGGGGGCCCACACGAGGGAUACCUGCCCACCCAGUCUGGCUCUCGGGGUGGCCCAGUCUCGUCUCCUACUACUCCCUGUGCCUUUGCCAUUCUUACUCUCAGUCACAGGCUUCUGUUGGUUCUGCCCCUUAUAUGUCUGUCCUUCCUUUUACCCUCUGGCCUGGACAUUUCCACCCCACCUCCCGUGCCUCAACCAUCAGUCUGGGACACCGUAGCCAAAGCUGUCUUUCUACAGGCAGCUCUGAGCUUCUGAACUCAACUGUUCAUGGACCUAAAUUAGCCCAAACUUCUUAGCUGCCCCUUGAGGCUGGGCUUCUAUAUGGUCUGCCCUGACCUCUUGAGCAGGAUGUCCCCUGUUGCAGAGCCCCUGAGCAUUGGGUCUCCCCACUCUGAGAUGAUCUCUUUCUCAAACAUCCCUUCCCUUGUAUCUUCUUCUGGCCUUUUGAACUCCUGCUCAUUCUCAUGGCCCAGCUAGGUUUUCCUCCCAGUAGUCCCCCCAGACCCCCACCUCUCUCUGGUGGGUAGAGUCCACGCGUCUUCCCAUGGGCACCCCUGCUCUUGGCCAGUCCCUCCAUUACAGCUCUCACAUGGUGCAGCAUGGCAAAACAUGCUUCUGUGUCAGCCUCCCCCACCAGACUGGGAGCUCUGGGAGAGUAGGGGCCAGGGCGGACGCAUGCCCAGGGCCAGACCCAGCACGAUGGUCUUUGAGGAAGGAACACUGGGGAGUCUGGCAGAAGCAGAUGGACCUAAGCUCCUUAGAGGGGGGUGCUCAGAACCCCAUGGGAUUCAGUGAGGAGUGGAACGUCGUGAGCCUCCUGCCUCCUCGGGGUCUCCUACUGGUGAGCAGGGUACCCUAGAUUGAGGAGACGAGGACCAGGUUUGCUCCCAGGGACCUGUAGGCCUUGACCCUCAGCCGUUGCCUUCAGGGGCCAAGGUCCCACCUGGGUUUGUUGGUGCAGUCAUGGUGGGCACUCAGGUGGAAGGGCCCUCCCCGCCCUGUCCCCUGAGUGGCCGGCCCCUCUGCCCCCUGGAGCCCACCCCCGACGUCCUCCCAGGGAACAGGGAGAGUUAUGUCAGGCCCUCUGGCCAAGCGCCAGGGCUCCCCAUGGAACUAUAAAUUGACCUGUCGGGAGAGGGAAGAGAUUAAUGUCGGCCAUCUUCAUUAGCGCGUCCCCCAGGGUGACGGCGCUGCCCUGAGCUGGCUGAUUGGAGAGGGUGUGAGUGAGUGAGGGGACUGAGGGGGGUUGCACUCCCCCCAGAAAAGCAAGGGGGUAGGGGCCAGGGCCUGCCAGAGAGCCGUGGCCUCUUCCCACUGUUAGAAGGGCCGUCCCUCUGGCCUCUGCUCCUGGCAGCAGGCGUGCGCUUUGAUGGAGGACCUGUGUGCUAAUUGGGAGCAGAGAUGCGCGCCCUGCAGCUCCGCGGGGCUCCCAGGCUGACACCGCCAGCAUCUGUGGGGCCUUCAUUAGAGGCCUUUCCCCUGACCAGAAAGGAGCCUGCUGCGGGCUGGGGGGAGGCUUUCCUCUUUGCCUUUCCCCUCCCCCUCCCCCUCCCCCUUCUCUCUACUGCCUUGAUGAUGGGGAAGGAGGCAGCUUUGGUGUGUGCAAGGGACGAUGAGGAUUGGGAGGUGGGAGAGGUUUAAGACCUUCUGCUUUCUGGUGACCACGUGACCUUGGGUUGGGCCCUCUACUGCUCUGCAUUUGGGCGCCCAGGUCCCUGGGAUGGGCACAGUUCAUACCCCUCUGGGGGGGAAGUGGGGAUCCGAUAAGGGAGUGUGGAUGGAUGGAUUCAUCUUGGGAAACAAGGGCAAAGCAGAGCCUUGGGCUGAAGCCCAGACUCAAGCACAGCUAUUCGGGUUCAGAUCCUGGUGCUGGUGCUUCUCAUGAGGCCCUGGGACUUCUGAACCUCAGUUUCCACGUCUGGCAAUGGUUGGGGGCCGGGGCUGGUCUUGUGGGGUGGGAGUCCCUCUUGGUAAACAGAAACAGACCCCCCCUUUGCUGAGUGCAGGUUGCUAUGGGAAGCCUACAGCCGCAGAUCACGUGGUAUUGGCUUGUUCCAUCAUUCAUUCGCCCACUCAUUCAUUCAUCCAGGACAUGCCCCCUGUACUGGAGUCUUGUACCCACAGAGGGGUUUAGAGGUGGCAUGUCCUCUGGUGGCCUCCCUGGAGAAACAAGUCCAGGAACAGCUGGGGACGGGGGCUGCAUGAGCUGCUGGGGUUGCUAGAUAGUAGUCUCCCCAAGGCUUGGGGAUAUCUGGAAGGCUCCAAAGGGACACCCAUGAGGUGGAGGGAGUGUAGCCUUUCCUCGCAGAUCUUGUCCGCACCAGACUCUAAUGUGGGGUGACCCAGCUGGUCACCAAGUUCCUGGCCCCUGGAGUUCCUCAGACCAGGCUGUCAAGCAGGGUGUGAGCAGGGGAUGUUCUGCUGAAUGUUUGGGAACCGAGAUCCUCUCUUCACGCCCACUCCUUUGACUCCCAGCCUUUCCUGUGUGCCCAAGGGUUCUGGGAGGUGGGGGGUGGGUCCGACUUAGUACCUCGAAUCCCUGGCCUCCAGUCCAUACCUCAGAUUGCAUUCCAGGAGCACCUGGUGGGUCUAGUGCCUGCUGAAGGGGGUAGGCAGCAGCUGUGCCGGGACCACCCCAUGGGAUGGUUGAAUGAUUUGGGCUGUGCCACUCACCAGCUGAGGGUCACUGUGAGGCAUGUGGCUCUUCGCUUCUCCAAGCCUCAGUUUCCCUCUUUGCAGAAUGGGAUGGCGCUGUGCUAACUGCCUGGCAUAUACCCGAAGCAGUGUAGAGAAAGUGAGCAGUAUUUUGUGGUCACCUCUGCCUCAGGCAGCUGCCCUAACUCUGUGGCC